UCAACCUUGAGCCUAGUGAGACUCGAACUGCCAAACUGCUGACUGCUGGCAGCUGGCAGUGAAAGACAUAGUGAUGUAGUCUAGUAAUCAGAUCGGCAGACUGCAAUAUUGAUCCUGUGGAUAUCCAUGCCAUUUCCAAAGCCCCAUUAAGGGUGGAUGUGGAUAUGUGAUAUCUCCACUUCCUGUUUUGGGAAGAUUAUUGCCUGUGGUCCAAGUAGGUUCAUCCAAUUUCUUCAAUUUCCCUCUUGUGUUUCGGAUCCCAUGUCCCAUUCCCAGCCAUUCUAGGGAAUCUGUUCAUGGGUGUAGAAACCUGAAGAGGAUGAGAGCCUAGUUCUACUUUUAAAUUCAAGCCUAGGCUUUCUAGAAAAUCUUUAUAGCGAUAUUGUGAGACAGGCCUUGAAAGGUAGGUCGAUAUUUUCACCACAAACAUUACAUAUCCAACAUAUAUCCAACAUACUGGAGGUUAAGUAUAAUAAGUACUUAAGGUCGACUUCUUUCUUAGCAUCUUCUGGUAGAUAUACUAGACUAGAUGAUGCUACCUAGUUUGGUAAUGAACAUCUGCAAGAAAAGAACUAAAUCAUAGAGCACUAAAGGACCCCAGACACAGCGGUUAGCAAACAAAAUCAACUACUUAUUGUACUCAGGGGGGAAAAAACCUGUCCCAUAUUAAACCAUAUGUUGUAAAUGUAGAAUGUAAAUUGAUUCCUAUAUUAUUUAACUCUGCCCUUUCAUUGUUGCCUGUUCAUGUCCUAACUUUUUAAGUUGCAGGUCUAUUAAGUCUUCAUCUCUUUCUUAGACAAGAAGAAAAUAUAUAACUCACUGUUGCUCCCUCUAACAACAGCAGACAGAGGACACGCAUUUCAUCAGGUAAUAUGAGAAAUGCUUCCUUUCUACUCCUGGCCAUGAGUUUAAGGAUAACUUGCUGACUAUACCCACAUGCUAAGUUUAUGUGAAAGGCCAAAUCAUAACAAGGCUGAACUGGAGAAAAAACAAGGUCUCGAUAUACUUCAAAUGAUUGUGACCAAUGCUUCUGGCAGAAGACUGCGUCAAUUUCUACAAAAUUCAAUUCUAACAGAAUUGACGGCAUCAUAUUCAA